UACGGAGGGUGCAAGCGUUAUCCGGAUUCACUGGGUUUAAAGGGUGCGUAGGUGGGCAGGUAAGUCCGUGGUGAAAUCUCUGAGCUUAACUCAGAAACUGCCGUGGAUACUAUUUGUCUUGAAUAUUGUGGAGGUAAGCGGAAUAUGUCAUGUAGCGGUGAAAUGCUUAGAUAUGACAUAGAACACCAAUUGCGAAGGCAGCUUACUACACAACGAUUGACGCUGAGGCACGAAAGCGUGGGGAUCAAACAGG
rnacentral:rRNA from 1 species